UAAUACUAGCGGUCCGAGUCGCAGCCAUUUUUAUUGGGUCUAAAACAUCCGUAGCUUGCUUUGUAAGUCCCUUGUGAAAUCCUGUAUCUCAAAUACAGGGCGGGCAAGGGGUACUGUAGAGCUAGAGACUGGAAGACGUAAGAAGUACGUUCGAAGUAUCGGUAAAAUGAGUUAAUCUCGAACGGACUCACAACAGCGAAGGCAUCUUACGAGGACAGUUCUGACGGUAAGGGAUGAAGGCUAGGGGCGCAAAACGGAUUAGAUACCCGUGUAGUCCUAGCAGUAAACACUGCACACUAAACAUCAGUACCUCUUCGAGAGGUAUUGGUGCUGUAGGGAAGCCGAAGAGUGUGCUACCUGGGAAGUAUAGUCGCAAGGCCG
rnacentral:rRNA from 1 species